rnacentral:rRNA from 1 species
AGAGUUUGAUCCUGGCUCAGGACGAACGCUGGCGGCGCGCUUAACACAUGCAAGUCGAGCGAUGAAAUCUUAACAGAACCCUUCGGGGUGAAGAUAAGACGGAUUAGCGGCGGACGGGUGAGUAACACGUGAGUAACCUGCCUUUUACACAGGGAUAGCCUCGGGAAACCGGGAUUAAAACCUGAUGAAACUAUCAAAUCACAUGAUUAAGAAAGUUAAAACUCCGGUGGUAAAAGAUGGACUCGCGUCCCAUUAGCUAGUUGGUGAAGGUAACGGCCCACCAAGGCAACGAUGGGUAGCCGGCCUGAGAGGGUGAACGGCCACAUUGGAACUGAGAAACGGUCCAAACUCCUACGGGAGGCAGCAGUGGGGAAUAUUGCACAAUGGGGGAAACCCUGAUACGGGAGGCAGCAGUGGGGAAUAUUGCACAAUGGGGGAAACCCUGAUGCAGCGACGCCGCGUGAGCGAAGAAGGCCUUCGGGUCGUAAAGCUCUUUUAUGAGGGAAGAUAAUGACGGUACCUCAAGAAAAAGCUCCGGCUAACUACGUGCCAGCAGCCGCGGUAAUACGUAGGGGGCUAGCGUUGUCCGGAAUCACUGGGCGUAAAGGGUUCGCAGGCGGAAUAACAAGUCAGAUGUGAAAGGCAUGGGCUCAACCCAUGUAAGCAUUUGAAACUGUAAUUCUUGAGAAGUGGAGAGGUAAGUGGAAUUCCUAGUGUAGCGGUGAAAUGCGUAGAUAUUAGGAGGAAUACCUGUGGCGAAGGCGACUUACUGGACACAAAUCUGACGCUGAGGAACGAAAGCGUGGGUAGCAAACAGGAUUAGAUCACAAUAAGCACUCCGCCUGGGGAGUACGUGCGCAAGCAUGAAACUCAAAGGAAUUGACGGGGACCCGCACAAGCAGCGGAGCAUGUGGUUUAAUUCGACGCAACGCGAAGAACCUUACCAGGGCUUGACAUACUGAGGGCGUACUUAGAGAUAAGUAUUCUCCUUCGGGAGCCUCAAUACAGGUGGUGCAUGGUUGUCGUCAGCUCGUGUCGUGAGAUGUUCAGUUAAGUCUGGCAACGAGCGCAACCCUUACCUUUAGUUACCAGCAUGUAAAGAUGGGGACUCUAAAGGGACUGCCGAUGAUAAAUCGGAGGAAGGUGGGGAUGACGUCAAAUCAUCAUGCCCUAUAUGCCCUGGGCUACACACGUGCUACAAUGGUCGGAACAGAGGGAAGCAACAGAGCGAUCUCAAGCAAAUCUCAUAAAUCCGAUCCCAGUUCGGAUUGCACUCUGCAACUCGAGUGCAUGAAGUCGGAGUUGCUAGUAAUCGCAGAUCAGCAUGCUGCGGUGAAUGCGUUCCCGGGUCUUGUACACACCGCCCGUCACACCAUGGGAGCCUGUAAUACCCGAAGCCGGUGAGCCAACCGCAAGGAGGCAGCCGUCGAAGGUAGGAUAGGUGACUGGGGUGAAGUCGUAACAAGGUAGCCGUAUCGGAAGGUGCGGCUG